CGUAGGCGGCCUUCUAAGUCGAACGUGAAAUCCCCGGGCUCAACCCGGGAACUGCGUCCGAUACUGGAAGGCUUGAAUCCGGGAGAGGGAUGCGGAAUUCCAGGUGUAGCGGUGAAAUGCGUAGAUAUCUGGAGGAACACCGGUGGCGAAGGCGGCAUCCUGGGACCGGCAUUGACGCUGAGGCGCGAAAGCCAGGGGAGCAAACG
rnacentral:rRNA from 1 species